AGUAAUUCUCAAUAUUUUAACAUAUUCUAAGUUGAAUGUAAAUUUAAUAUUCAUUUAGGAAAAAUGUUAGUGGGCCCAUUUGAUAAUCUUUGAAAAAUAUUCUAAAAUAAUUUAUUUUUGUAUGUUAAUAUAUAGAAUACGUAGUUUACUAAUGUUAUUUAUGACCUUGAAAUAGAACUGGGUCAAAAUGAGUAUUUUCAACCCAAACUCUGAAUAAAAUAUCUACAUCCAUAGUUGGAGUAACCACAAGAAGUUUUGUAGAGAAGGUGGGGUCUUGAAGGUUAGCGAAUAGAGAAGACGUGAAUAAAUACAUGUGUGAAGAUAAGAAUAUGCAUGCUAUGUUAAAGGACCAGUGAGUGGAUCAAGUUAAUUCUCCCUAGUAAAUGGUGUGCAGCAGAGAAGCAAAAUUUCCCAGUUAUUUAUAAAGGAGACAGGCCUUCAAAAACUAGGUGUUUUGAAGUGUUAGCUGGUAAUGGCUCUAAUCAGGACAGAGAAGAUGUGAGAAAUGAACCUCACAAGAGUACAGAGUAAAUUAAAGAAUGUUUAAUGUUUUAUAAUUGGAUUAAAUGUGUGCUUGUGCUGCACAGUUAUUUUUUUUUUCAGUAGGAAAAUGAUACUUACCCCCACUUUACUUAUAGCC
rnacentral:lncRNA from 1 species